UACGAAGGGGGGCUAGCGUUGCUCGGAAUUACUGGGCGUAAAGGGCGCGUAGGCGGAUGUUUAAGUCGGGGGUGAAAGCCCGGGGCUCAACCUCGGAAUUGCCUUCGAUACUGGACAUCUUGAGUACGGGAGAGGUGAGUGGAACUCCGAGUGUAGAGGUGAAAAUUCGUAGAUAUUCGGAAGAACACCAGUGGCGAAGGCGACUCACUGGCCCGUUACUGACGCUGAGGCGCGAAAGCGUGGGGAGCAAACAGG
rnacentral:rRNA from 1 species